AGAGUUUGAUCCUGGCUCAGGAUGAACGCUGGCGGCGUGCCUAAUACAUGCAAGUCGAGCGAACGGACGAGAAGCUUGCUUCUCUGAUGUUAGCGGCGGACGGGUGAGUAACACGUGGAUAACCUACCUAUAAGACUGGGAUAACUUCGGGAAACCGGAGCUAAUACCGGAUAAUAUUUUGAACCGCAUGGUUCAAAAGUGAAAGACGGUCUUGCUGUCACUUAUAGAUGGAUCCGCGCUGCAUUAGCUAGUUGGUAAGGUAACGGCUUACCAAGGCAACGAUGCAUAGCCGACCUGAGAGGGUGAUCGGCCACACUGGAACUGAGACACGGUCCAGACUCCUACGGGAGGCAGCAGUAGGGAAUCUUCCGCAAUGGGCGAAAGCCUGACGGAGCAACGCCGCGUGAGUGAUGAAGGUCUUCGGAUCGUAAAACUCUGUUAUUAGGGAAGAACAUAUGUGUAAGUAACUGUGCACAUCUUGACGGUACCUAAUCAGAAAGCCACGGCUAACUACGUGCCAGCAGCCGCGGUAAUACGUAGGUGGCAAGCGUUAUCCGGAAUUAUUGGGCGUAAAGCGCGCGUAGGCGGUUUUUUAAGUCUGAUGUGAAAGCCCACGGCUCAACCGUGGAGGGUCAUUGGAAACUGGAAAACUUGAGUGCAGAAGAGGAAAGUGGAAUUCCAUGUGUAGCGGUGAAAUGCGCAGAGAUAUGGAGGAACACCAGUGGCGAAGGCGACUUUCUGGUCUGUAACUGACGCUGAUGUGCGAAAGCGUGGGGAUCAAACAGGAUUAGAUACCCUGGUAGUCCACGCCGUAAACGAUGAGUGCUAAGUGUUAGGGGGUUUCCGCCCCUUAGUGCUGCAGCUAACGCAUUAAGCACUCCGCCUGGGGAGUACGACCGCAAGGUUGAAACUCAAAGGAAUUGACGGGGACCCGCACAAGCGGUGGAGCAUGUGGUUUAAUUCGAAGCAACGCGAAGAACCUUACCAAAUCUUGACAUCCUUUGACAACUCUAGAGAUAGAGCUUUCCCCUUCGGGGGACAAAGUGACAGGUGGUGCAUGGUUGUCGUCAGCUCGUGUCGUGAGAUGUUGGGUUAAGUCCCGCAACGAGCGCAACCCUUAAGCUUAGUUGCCAUCAUUAAGUUGGGCACUCUAAGUUGACUGCCGGUGACAAACCGGAGGAAGGUGGGGAUGACGUCAAAUCAUCAUGCCCCUUAUGAUUUGGGCUACACACGUGCUACAAUGGACAAUACAAAGGGCAGCGAAACCGUGAGGUCAAGCAAAUCCCAUAAAGUUGUUCUCAGUUCGGAUUGUAGUCUGCAACUCGACUACAUGAAGCUGGAAUCGCUAGUAAUCGUAGAUCAGC
rnacentral:rRNA from 9 species